rnacentral:rRNA from 1 species
GAUGAACGCUGGCGGCGUGCCUAAUACAUGCAAGUCGAGCGAAGAGACGAGGAGCUUGCUCCUCUGACGUUAGCGGCUUACGGGUGAGUAACACGUGGAGAGCAUAACUAUAAGACUGUGAUAACUACGGGAGACCGGAGCGGAUACCGGGUAAUAUAUUGAACCUCAGGGUUCAAUAGUGAAAGACGGUUUUGCUGUAGCUUAUACAUGGAUCCACGCCGACUUAGCUAGUUGGUAAGGUAACGGCUUAUCAAGGCAACGAUGCGUAGCCGACCUGAGAGCGUGGUCGGCCAGACGGGAACUGAGACACGGUCCAGACUCCUACGGGAGGCAGCAGUAGGGAAUCUUCCGCAAUGGGCGAAAGCUUGACGGAGCAAAGCCGCGUGAGUGCUGAAGGUCUUCGGAUCGGAAAACUAUGUUAUUAGGUAAGAACAAAUGUGUAAGUAUCUAUGCACGACUUGACGGUACCUUAUCAGAAAGCCACGGCUAACUACGUG